AGAGUGAACGCUGGCGGUAGGCCUAACACAUGCAAGUCGAACGGCAGCACGGUAAGAGCUUGCUCUUAUGGGUGGCGAGUGGCGGACGGGUGAGGAAUACAUCGGAAUCUACCUUUUGGUGGGGGAUAACGUAGGGAAACUUACGCUAAUACCGCAUACGCCCUUCGGGGGAAAGCCGGGGACCAGCAAUGGCCUGGCGCUGAUAGAUGAGCCGAUGUCGGAUUAGCUAGUUGGUGAGGUAAUGGCUCACCAAGGCGACGAUCCGUAGCUGGUCUGAGAGGAUGAUCAGCCACACUGGAACU
rnacentral:rRNA from 1 species